AUGGACGAAAGUCUGAUGGAGCAACGCCGCGUGAGUGAAGAAGGGUUUCGGCUCGUAAAACUCUGUUGUUAAAGAAGAACAUAUCUGAGAGUAACUGUUCAGGUAUUGACGGUAUUUAACCAGAAAGCCACGGCUAACUACGUGCCAGCAGCCGCGGUAAUACGUAGGUGGCAAGCGUUGUCCGGAUUUAUUGGGCGUAAAGCGAGCGCAGGCGGUUUUUUAAGUCUGAUGUGAAAGCCUUCGGCUUAACCGAAGAAGUGCAUCGGAAACUGGGAAACUUGAGUGCAGAAGAGGACAGUGGAACUCCAUGUGUAGCGGUGAAAUGCGUAGAUAUAUGGAAGAACACCAGUGGCGAAGGCGGCUGUCUGGUCUGUAACUGACGCUGAGGCUCGAAAGUAUGGGUAGCAAACAGGAUUAGAUACCCUGGUAGUCCAUACCGUAAACGAUGAAUGCUAAGUGUUGGAAGGUUUCCGCCCUUCAGUGCUGCAGCUAACGCAUUAAGCAUUCCGCCUGGGGAGUACGGCCGCAAGGCUGAAACUCAAAGGAAUUGACGGGGGCCCGCACAAGCGGUGGAGCAUGUGGUUUAAUUC
rnacentral:rRNA from 2 species